rnacentral:rRNA from 1 species
GGGUUGUGAGGUUAAGCGAAUGAAGCGUACACGGUGGAUGCCUAGGCAGUCAGAGGCGAUGAAGGACGUGCUAAUCUGCGAAAAGCGUCGGUAAGCUGAUAUGAAGCGUACUAGCCGGCGAUGUCCGAAUGGGGAAACCCAGUGCAUUAAUGCACUAUCGUUUGAUGAAUUCAUAGUCAAACGAGGCGAACCGGGGAAACUGAAACAUCUCAGUACCCCGAGGAAAAGAAAUCAACCGAGAUUCCCCCAGUAGCGGCGAGCGAACAGGGAGCAGCCCAGAGUCAACAUCAAUAUUUACCGCAGGAGAAAGAUCUGGAAAGGCCGGCAAUAAAGGGUGAUAGCCCCGUAUCUGAAGCGGUAAGUGUUGUGAACUCGAAGAGUAAGGCGGGACACGUGUUAUCCUGUCUGAAUAUGGGGGGACCAUCCUCCAAGGCUAAAUACUCCUGACUGACCGAUAGUGAACCAGUACCGUGAGGGAAAGGCGAAAAGAACCCCGGCGAGGGGAGUGAAAUAGAACCUGAAACCGUGUACGUACAAGCAGUAGGAGCACCCGAAAAGGUGUGACUGCGUACCUUUUGUAUAAUGGGUCAGCGACUUAUAUUCUGUAGCAAGGUUAACCGCAUAGGGGAGCCGUAGGGAAACCGAGUCUUAACUGGGCGUUAAGUUGCAGGGUAUAGACCCGAAACCCGGUGAUCUAGCCAUGAGCAGGUUGAAGGUUGGGUAACACUAACUGGAGGACCGGA